GACGAACGCUGGCGGCGUGCUUAACACAUGCAAGUCGAACGAUGAAGCGCCAGCUUGCUGGUGUGGAAUAGUGCCGAACGGGUGAGUAACACGAGAGUACCCUGCCCCUCACUCUGGGAUACGCCUGGAAAACUGGGUCUAAUACUGGAUACGACCGAUAUCCGCAUGGUGUGUUGGUGAAAAGUUGUUGUGGGGGGCGAUGGACUCGCGGGCUAUCAGCUUGUUGGGGGGGUAAUGGACUCCCAAGGCGGCGACGGGUAGCCGGCCUGAGAGGGCCACCGGCAACAGUGGGAGUGAGCUACGGCACAGACCACUACGGGAGGCAGGAGUGGGGAAUAUUGCACGAUGGGCCAAAGCCUGAUGCAGCGACGAGGCGUGAGGGAUGACGGCCUUCGUGUGGGAAACAGCUUUCACCGGGGAGGAAGCUAACGUGACGGUACCUGGAGAAGAAGCACCGGCUAACUACGUG
rnacentral:rRNA from 1 species